rnacentral:rRNA from 1 species
GACGAACGCUGGCGGCGUGCCUAAUACAUGCAAGUAGAACGCUGAAGGAGGAGCUUGCUUCUCUGGAUGAGUUGCGAACGGGUGAGUAACGCGUAGGUAACCUGCCUGGUAGCGGGGGAUAACUAUUGGAAACGAUAGCUAAUACCGCAUAAGAGUAGAUGUUGCAUGACAUUUGCUUAAAAGGUGCAAUUGCAUCACUACCAGAUGGACCUGCGUUGUAUUAGCUAGUUGGUGGGGUAACGGCUCACCAAGGCGACGAUACAUAGCCGACCUGAGAGGGUGAUCGGCCACACUGGGACUGAGACACGGCCCAGACUCCUACGGGAGGCAGCAGUAGGGAAUCUUCGGCAAUGGACGGAAGUCUGACCGAGCAACGCCGCGUGAGUGAAGAAGGUUUUCGGAUCGUAAAGCUCUGUUGUAAGAGAAGAACGAGUGUGAGAGUGGAAAGUUCACACUGUGACGGUAUCUUACCAGAAAGGGACGGCUAACUACGUGCCAGCAGCCGCGGUAAUACGUAGGUGGCAAGCGUUAUCCGGAUUUAUUGGGCGUAAAGAGAGUGCAGGCGGUUUUCUAAGUCUGAUGUGAAAGCCUUCGGCUUAACCGGAGAAGUGCAUCGGAAACUGGAUAACUUGAGUGCAGAAGAGGGUAGUGGGAACUCCAUGUGUAGCGGUGGAAUGCGUAGAUAUAUGGAAGAACACCAGUGGCGAAGGCGGCUACCUGGUCUGCAACUGACGCUGAGACUCGAAAGCAUGGGUAGCGAACAG